CUACAAUGGGCACUACAAUGAGGAGCAAGUCUGCAAGGACGAGCAAAUCUCAAAAAGGUGCCCCCAGUGCGGAUUGGGGUCUGCAACCCGACCCCAUGAAGAUGGAAUCGGUAGUAAUCGCGGGUCAGCCAUACCGCGGUGAAUAUGUACUUGGGCCUUGUACACACCGCCCGUCACACCAAUCGAGUAGGCGACACCCGAAGUCGGCUCGUCAGAGUUGCCGAAG
rnacentral:rRNA from 1 species